AGGCACGUAGCUCAGUUGGUUAGAGCGCUUGCUUGACAGGCAAGAGGUCCACAGUUCGAAUCUGUGCGUGCCUA
rnacentral:tRNA from 1 species